rnacentral:rRNA from 1 species
GCUUAACCGUAAACUCAAAUAAUUAAUAACAAAAUUAUUCGCCAGAGAACUACAAGCAAUAGCUCAAAACUCAAAGGACUUGGCGGUGCUUUAUAUCCCUCUAGAGGAGCCUGUUCUAUAACCGAUAAACCCCGAUAAACCUCACCACCCCUUGCUAAUUCAACCUAUAUACCGCCAUCUUCAGCAAACCCUGUUAAGGAGACAAAGUAAGCAAGAGAAUAGCACAUUAAGACGUUAGGUCAAGGUGUAGUCCAUGAGGUGGGAAGAAAUGGGCUACAUUUUCUACUCACAUAGAAUAACUACGCUAACCCAAGUGAAAUAAAGGGUGAAAGGCGGAUUUAGUAGUAAAUUAAGAAUAGAGAGCUUAAUUGAAUUGGGCAAUGAAGCACGC